rnacentral:rRNA from 1 species
GACGAACGCUGGCGGCGUGCUUAACACAUGCAAGUCGAACGGAAAGGCCCGGCUUUUGUGGGGUUCUCGAGUGGCGAACGGGUGAGUAACACGUGAGUAACCUGCCCUUGACUUUGUGAUAACUUCAGGAAACUGGGGCUAAUACCGGAUAGGAGCUCCUGCUGCAUGUUGGUGUUUGGAGAGUGUCGGCUGUUGGGGAUGGACUCGCGGCUUAUCAGCUUGUUGGUGGGGUAGUGGCUUACCAAGGCUUUGACGGGUAGCCGGCAUGAGAGGGUUACCGGCCACAAUGGGACUGAGGUACGGCCCAGAAUCCUACGGGAGGCAGAAGUGGGGAAUAUUGCACAAUGGGCGGAAGUCUGAUGCAGCAACGCCGCGUGCGGGAUGACGGCCUUCGGGUUGUAAACCGCUUUCGACUGUGACGAAGAGUGAGUGACGGUAAUGGGUAAAGAAGCACCGGCUAACUACGUG